UACGUAGGGUGCAAGCGUUGUCCGGAAUUAUUGGGCGUAAAGAGCUCGUAGGCGGUUUGUCGCGUCUGCUGUGAAAACUCGGGGCUCAACCCCGAGCUUGCAGUGGGUACGGGCAGACUAGAGUGCGGUAGGGGAGACUGGAAUUCCUGGUGUAGCGGUGAAAUGCGCAGAUAUCAGGAGGAACACCGAUGGCGAAGGCAGGUCUCUGGGCCACUACUGACGCUGAGAAGCGAAAGCAUGGGGAGCGAACAGG
rnacentral:rRNA from 1 species